UAAUUUCUUAAAAUUAAUAUUCUCGAACAAGUUAUAUACAAAAUCUUUAGAAUAUUUGUGUUACCGUUCUGUUCUAGUCUUAUAUUGAAGCCAAAGUGCGGA